ACAAGCGGAGGAACAUGUGGUUAAUUCGAUGAUACGCGAGGAACCUUACCUGGGCUUAAAUGUAGAGUGCAUUUUCUAGAGAUAGGAAUUCCCUUCGGGGCUUUCUGCAAGGUGCUGCAUGGUUGUCGUCAGCUCGUGCCGUGAGGUGUCGGGUUAAGUCCCAUAACGAGCGCAACCCUUAUCGUUAGUUGCCAUCUGGUAAAGCAGGGGACUCUAGCGAAACUGCCACCGUAAGGUGAGAGGAAGGUGGGGAUGACGUCAAAUCAGCACGGCCCUUAUGUCCAGGGCUACACACGUGUUACAAUGGCCGGUACAGAGGGCAGCUACCUGGUGACAGGAUGCUAAUCUCGAAAACCGGUCUCAGUUCGGAUCGAAGUCUGCAACUCGACUUCGUGAAGCUGGAUUCGCUAGUAAUCGCGCAUCAGCCAUGGCGCGGUGAAUACGUUCCCGGGCCUU
rnacentral:rRNA from 1 species